AAUAGUUAAAGCUUGUCAUGCGCUAUCUGAAAUUACGUACAAAGCCAAGUCAUUUCCUUUAGAUUCCUCUUUUAAUGUUGUUAGUGGAGCUUAUUAGCUCUGCUGCUUCUGCAGAGCUACUCUGUGGAAAGAAGAAAACACCUUACAUUUCACAAGAGUUGCUGCAUGUCUAAUAGAGGAUUUUGCAUCUUCCCCAUAAAAACUGGACCUAUCUGUGAACCAUGCUGAAUAUUCUGUGGCACAAAAUCAGCAAUAGAGCUUUUAUCUGAUAACAGUUGACAGGCAUACAAAACUUAAGGAAAUUCUGUUACCCAAAUAUCUAGUGUUUUUACUUCCUCCGGAUUCCUAAUAACAAUGCAUCAGUGACCUGCAGGAAUCGCUCCACCCUCACCUCCCACUGGUUAUAUUACUCCCUGGAUUAGGAUUAGAAGAACGGGAAAAAAAAAAGAUUAGCUCACUCCUUUUGCGUUACUCAGUUUCACUCACUCUGGGUGCUCGAGAAUGGAUUUACCUUCAAGUGUCACUGUUACCUGGAACAUUUGGCACCAUAUGUGAGAAGAGCAGCAAACUAGAAGCAAACUGAGGACGACUUGCACGUAUUAUUUUGCAGAGAA
rnacentral:lncRNA from 1 species